rnacentral:lncRNA from 1 species
AAAGCUGUAGGAACAAGUCUUCCGCUUCAACUCUGGGACUGUUGCCAUCUCUAUCAGUGAACAAGCUCUGGAAUGUACCUGAGAAAUGAUAUGCAUGCAGGGAUUAGUUUUUUUUUGUUUUCUUUUUCCCCUUUUUUUUUUUUUUUGUAUUUUUUUUUUAUUGCGUUUCUUUUGAAAAAUAAAUAUGCUAUGAUGCAAAUGAUGCAGACACGACUGGUUGGCUGUGUCUCUCAGAACACAGGAUCAAAGCUUCGGCUUGAACUCGG